GACGAACGCUGGCGGCGUGCUUAACACAUGCAAGUCGAACGGAAAGGCCCUGCUUUUGUGGGGUGCUCGAGUGGCGAACGGGUGAGUAACACGUGAGUAACCUGCCCUUGACUUUGGGAUAACUUCAGGAAACUGGGGCUAAUACCGGAUAGGAGCUCCUGCUGCAUGGUGGGGGUUGGAAAGUUUCGGCGGUUGGGGAUGGACUCGCGGCUUAUCAGCUUGUUGGUGGGGUAGUGGCUUACCAAGGCUUUGACGGGUAGCCGGCCUGAGAGGGUGACCGGCCACAUUGGGACUGAGAUACGGCCCAGACUCCUACGGGAGGCAGCAGUGGGGAAUAUUGCACAAUGGGCGGAAGCCUGAUGCAGCAACGCCGCGUGCGGGAUGACGGCCUUCGGGUUGUAAACCGCUUUCGCCUGUGACGAAGCGUGAGUGACGGUAAUGGGUAAAGAAGCACCGGCUAACUACGUGCCAGUAGCCGCGGUGAUACGUAGGGUGCGAGCGUUGUCCGGAUUUAUUGGGCGUAAAGGGCUCGUAGGUGGUUGAUCGCGUCGGAAGUGUAAUCUUGGGGCUUAACCCUGAGCGUGCUUUCGAUACGGGUUGACUUGAGGAAGGUAGGGGAGAAUGGAAUUCCUGGUGGAGCGGUGGAAUGCGCAGAUAUCAGGAGGAACACCAGUGGCGAAGGCGGUUCUCUGGGCCUUUCCUGACGCUGAGGAGCGAAAGCGUGGGGAGCGAACAGGCUUAGAUACCCUGGUAGUCCACGCUGUAAACGGUGGGUACUAGGUGUGGGGUCCAUUCCACGGGUUCCGUGCCGUAGCUAACGCUUUAAGUACCCCGCCUGGGGAGUACGGCCGCAAGGCUAAAACUCAAAGGAAUUGACGGGGCCCCGCACAAGCGGCGGAGCAUGCGGAUUAAUUCGAUGCAACGCGUAGAACCUUACCUGGGUUUGACAUGGAUCGGGAGUGCUCAGAGAUGGGUGUGCCUCUUUUGGGGUCGGUUCACAGGUGGUGCAUGGCUGUCGUCAGCUCGUGUCGUGAGAUGUUGGGUUAAGUCCCGCAACGAGCGCAACCCUUGUUCACUGUUGCCAGCAUGUUAUGGUGGGGACUCAGUGGAGACCGCCGGGGUCAACUCGGAGGAAGGUGGGGAUGACGUCAAGUCAUCAUGCCCCUUAUGUCCAGGGCUUCACGCAUGCUACAAUGGCUGGUACAGAGAGUGGCGAGCCUGUGAGGGUGAGCGAAUCUCGGAAAGCCGGUCUCAGUUCGGAUUGGGGUCUGCAACUCGACCUCAUGAAGUCGGAGUCGCUAGUAAUCGCAGAUCAGCAACGCUGCGGUGAAUACGUUCCCGGGGCU
rnacentral:rRNA from 1 species